rnacentral:rRNA from 1 species
AGUGAACGCUGGCGGUAGGCCUAACACAUGCAAGUCGAACGGCAGCACAGUAAGAGCUUGCUCUUACGGGUGGCGAGUGGCGGACGGGUGAGGAAUACAUCGGAAUCUACUUUUUCGUGGGGGAUAACGCAGGGAAACUUACGCUAAUACCGCAUACGACCUACGGGUGAAAGCAGGGGAUCUUCGGACCUUGCGCGAUUGAAUGAGCCGAUGUCGGAUUAGCUAGUUGGCGGGGUAAAGGCCCACCAAGGCGACGAUCCGUAGCUGGUCUGAGAGGAUGAUCAGCCACACUGGAACUGAGACACGUUCCAGACUCCUACGGGAGGCAGCAGUGGGGAAUAUUGGACAAUGGGCGCAAGCCUGAUCCAGCCAUACCGCGUGGGUGAAGAAGGCCUUCGGGUUGUAAAGCCCUUUUGUUGGGAAAGAAAAGCAGCAGGUUAAUACCCCGCUGUUCUGACGGUACCCAAAGAAUAAGCACCGGCUAACUUCGUG